rnacentral:rRNA from 1 species
CACGUAGUUAGCCGUGGCUUUCUGAUUAGGUACCGUCAAGAUGUGCACAGUUACUUACACAUUUGUUCUUCCCUAAUAACAGAGUUUUACGAGCCGAAACCCUUCAUCACUCACGCGGCGUUGCUCCGUCAGGCUUUCGCCCGUUGCGGAAGAUUCCCUACUGCUGCCUCCCGUAGGAGUCUGGACCGUGUCUCAGUUCCAGUGUGGCCGAUCACCCUCUCAGGUCGGCUACGUAUCGUCGCCUUGGUAAGCCGUUACCUUACCAACUAGCUAAUACGGCGCGGGUCCAUCUAUAAGUGAUAGCAAAACCAUCUUUCACUUUAGAACCAUGCGGUUCUAAAUGUUAUCCGGUAUUAGCUCCGGUUUCCCGAAGUUAUCCCAGUCUUAUAGGUAGGUUACCCACGUGUUACUCACCCGUCCGCCGCUAACUUCAAAGGAGCAAGCUCCUUAUCUGUUCGCUCGACUUGCAUGUAUUAGGCACGCCGCCAGCGUUCAUCCUGAGCCAGGAUCAAACUCU